rnacentral:rRNA from 1 species
UACGUAGGGGGCAAGCGUUGUCCGGAAUUAUUGGGCGUAAAGCGCGUGUAGGCGGCUCGAUAAGUCUGCUGUGAAAGUCCAGGGCUCAACCCUGGGAUGCCGGUGGAUACUGUCGAGCUCGAGUCCGGAAGAGGCGAGUGGAAUUCCUGGUGUAGCGGUGAAAUGCGCAGAUAUCAGGAGGAACACCAAUGGCGAAGGCAGCUCGCUGGGACGUGACUGACGCUGAGACGCGAAAGCGUGGGGAGCAAACAGG